GCGGGCGUCGUAUAACGGCAUUACCCUAGCUUCCCAAGCUAGAGACGUGGGUUCGACUCCCAUCGCCCGCUCCA
rnacentral:tRNA from 1 species